rnacentral:rRNA from 1 species
UAGGGAAUCUUCGGCAAUGGACGGAAGUCUGACCGAGCAACGCCGCGUGAGUGAAGAAGGUUUUCGGAUCGUAAAGCUCUGUUGUAAGAGAAGAACGAGUGUGAGAGUGGAAAGUUCACACUGUGACGGUAUCUUACCAGAAAGGGACGGCUAACUACGUGCCAGCAGCCGCGGUAAUACGUAGGUCCCGAGCGUUGUCCGGAUUUAUUGGGCGUAAAGCGAGCGCAGGCGGUUAGAUAAGUCUGAAGUUAAAGGCUGUGGCUUAACCAUAGUACGCUUUGGAAACUGUUUAACUUGAGUGCAAGAGGGGAGAGUGGAAUUCCAUGUGUAGCGGUGAAAUGCGUAGAUAUAUGGAGGAACACCGGUGGCGAAAGCGGCUCUCUGGCUUGUAACUGACGCUGAGGCUCGAAAGCGUGGGGAGCAAACAGGAUUAGAUACCCUGGUAGUCCACGCCGUAAACGAUGAGUGCUAGGUGUUAGACCCUUUCCGGGGUUUAGUGCCGUAGCUAACGCAUUAAGCACUCCGCCUGGGGAGUACGACCGCAAGGUUGA